CCUACGGGAGGCAGCAGUGGGGAAUAUUGGACAAUGGGCGAAAGCCUGAUCCAGCAAUGCCGCGUGUGUGAAGAAGGCCUGCGGGUUGUAAAGCACUUUCAGUUGGGAAGAUAAUGACGUUACCAACAGAAGAAGCACCGGCUAAAUCCGUGCCAGCAGCCGCGGUAAUACGGAUGGUGCGAGCGUUAAUCGGAAUUACUGGGCGUAAAGCGCGCGUAGGCGGCUAAGUCAGUCAGAAGUGAAAGCCCCGGGCUCAACCUGGGAAUUGCUUUUGAUACUGCUUGGCUAGAGUUUGGUAGAGGAUAGUGGAAUUCCAGGUGUAGCGGUGAAAUGCGUAGAUAUCUGGAGGAACAUCAGUGGCGAAGGCGACUGUCUGGACCAAAACUGACGCUGAGGUGCGAAAGCGUGGGUAGCAAACAGGAUUAGAUACCCUGGUAG
rnacentral:rRNA from 1 species